rnacentral:rRNA from 1 species
UGGGGAAUUUUGCACAAUGGGGGAAAUCCUGAUGCAGCGACGCCGCGUGAUUUAGAAGGCCUUCGGGUUGUAAAAAUCUUUUCUAUGGGAAGAAAAUGACAGUACCAUAGGAAUAAGGACCGGCUAAUUACGUGCCAGCAGCCGCGGUAAUACGUAAGGUCCGAGCGUUGUCCGGAAUCAUUGGGCGUAAAGGGUACGUAGGCGGGUAAGCAAGUUAGAAGUGAAAUCCUAUAGCUCAACUAUAGUAAGCUUUUAAAACUGCUCAUCUUGAGGUAUGGAAGGGAAAGUGGAAUUCCUAGUGUAGCGGUGAAAUGCGCAGAUAUUAGGAGGAAUACCGGUGGCGAAGGCGACUUUCUGGCCAUAACCUGACGCUGAGGUACGAAAGCGUGGGUAGCAAACAGG